CCUACGGGUGGCAGCAGUGGGGAAUAUUGCACAAUGGGGGAAACCCUGAUGCAGCGACGCCGCGUGAGCGAUGAAGUAUUUCGGUAUGUAAAGCUCUAUCAGCAGGGAAGAAAAUGACGGUACCUGAUUAAGAAGCCCCGGCUAACUACGUGCCAGCAGCCGCGGUAAUACGUAGGGGGCAAGCGUUAUCCGGAUUUACUGGGUGUAAAGGGAGCGUAGACGGCAUCACAAGCCUGAUGUGAAAUGCCGGGGCUCAACCCCGGGACUGCAUUGGAAACUGUUCAGCUGGAGUGCAGGAGAGGCAAGUGGAAUUCCUAGGGUAGCGGUGAAAUGCGUAGAUAUUAGGAGGAACACCAGUGGCGAAGGCGGCUUGCUGGACGGUAACUGACGUUGAGGCUCGAAAGCGUGGGGAGCAAACAGGAUUAGAUACACCAGUAGUC
rnacentral:rRNA from 1 species